GGGGAUUUAGCUCAGCGGUAGAGCACUUGCCUAGCAAGCUCAAGGCCCUGGGUUCAGUCCCCA
rnacentral:tRNA from 1 species